rnacentral:rRNA from 1 species
AAAUUGAAGAGUUUGAUCAUGGCUCAGAUUGAACGCUGGCGGCAGGCCUAACACAUGCAAGUCGAGCGGUAGCACAGAGAGCUUGCUCUCGGGUGACGAGCGGCGGACGGGUGAGUAAUGUCUGGGAAACUGCCUGAUGGAGGGGGAUAACUACUGGAAACGGUAGCUAAUACCGCAUAAUGUCGCAAGACCAAAGUGGGGGACCUUCGGGCCUCAUGCCAUCAGAUGUGCCCAGAUGGGAUUAGCUAGUAGGUGGGGUAACGGCUCACCUAGGCGACGAUCCCUAGCUGGUCUGAGAGGAUGACCAGCCACACUGGAACUGAGACACGGUCCAGACUCCUACGGGAGGCAGCAGUGGGGAAUAUUGCACAAUGGGCGCAAGCCUGAUGCAGCCAUGCCGCGUGUGUGAAGAAGGCCUUCGGGUUGUAAAGCACUUUCAGCGGGGAGGAAGGCGGUGAGGUUAAUAACCUCACCGAUUGACGUUACCCGCAGAAGAAGCACCGGCUAACUCCGUGCCAGCAGCCGCGGUAAUACGGAGGGUGCAAGCGUUAAUCGGAAUUACUGGGCGUAAAGCGCACGCAGGCGGUCUGUCAAGUCGGAUGUGAAAUCCCCGGGCUCAACCUGGGAACUGCAUUCGAAACUGGCAGGCUAGAGUCUUGUAGAGGGGGGUAGAAUUCCAGGUGUAGCGGUGAAAUGCGUAGAGAUCUGGAGGAAUACCGGUGGCGAAGGCGGCCCCCUGGACAAAGACUGACGCUCAGGUGCGAAAGCGUGGGGAGCAAACAGGAUUAGAUACCCUGGUAGUCCACGCCGUAAACGAUGUCGAUUUGGAGGUUGUGCCCUUGAGGCGUGGCUUCCGGAGCUAACGCGUUAAAUCGACCGCCUGGGGAGUACGGCCGCAAGGUUAAAACUCAAAUGAAUUGACGGGGGCCCGCACAAGCGGUGGAGCAUGUGGUUUAAUUCGAUGCAACGCGAAGAACCUUACCUGGUCUUGACAUCCACAGAACUUAGCAGAGAUGCUUUGGUGCCUUCGGGAACUGUGAGACAGGUGCUGCAUGGCUGUCGUCAGCUCGUGUUGUGAAAUGUUGGGUUAAGUCCCGCAACGAGCGCAACCCUUAUCCUUUGUUGCCAGCGGUUAGGCCGGGAACUCAAAGGAGACUGCCAGUGAUAAACUGGAGGAAGGUGGGGAUGACGUCAAGUCAUCAUGGCCCUUACGACCAGGGCUACACACGUGCUACAAUGGCAUAUACAAAGAGAAGCGACCUCGCGAGAGCAAGCGGACCUCAUAAAGUAUGUCGUAGUCCGGAUUGGAGUCUGCAACUCGACUCCAUGAAGUCGGAAUCGCUAGUAAUCGUAGAUCAGAAUGCUACGGUGAAUACGUUCCCGGGCCUUGUACACACCGCCCGUCACACCAUGGGAGUGGGUUGCAAAAGAAGUAGGUAGCUUAACCUUCGGGAGGGCGCUUACCACUUUGUGAUUCAUGACUGGGGUGAAGUCGUAACAAGGUAACCGUAGGGGAACCUGCGGUUGGAUCACCUCCUUA